rnacentral:rRNA from 1 species
UACGUAGGGUGCAAGCGUUGUCCGGAAUUAUUGGGCGUAAAGAGCUCGUAGGCGGCUUGUCGCGUCGGCUGUGAAAACCUGGGGCUCAACCCCGGGCCUGCAGCCGAUACGGGCAGGCUGGAGUUCGGUAGGGGAGACUGGAAUUCCUGGUGUAGCGGUGAAAUGCGCAGAUAUCAGGAGGAACACCGGUGGCGAAGGCGGGUCUCUGGGCCGAUACUGACGCUGAGGAGCGAAAGCGUGGGGAGCGAACAGG